GCUAAAGAAGCUAAAAUAUAAGCAUUGGUCUUGUAAACCAAAGAUAGAAUUAUUUUCCUUCAGCU
rnacentral:tRNA from 1 species